CAACAAUACAUCCUCAAAAGAAAUAGCUAGGGAAAAGACCAAAAUGCCCUUAAUGAUUCCCGGACGGAUUUCCUUGUCAACUGCCCAACUUUCAAAGGCCAUAACUCGCUCAUACGAACUCGGAAUUGAGCAAACUUGGUGGCGUUGGAAAGAUCAUUCCACAAGAUUCACAACCAUAACUGGAACUACUCCUAACUCAUCCUGAGCUAGAAGUUAUGACUGCUCAAAGUUGGCCAAAAAUCACUGAUUUCCAUACUUAGCCAAAUUUUCC
rnacentral:lncRNA from 1 species